UACGUAGGGGGCAAGCGUUGUCCGGAUUUAUUGGGCGUAAAGAGCGUGUAGGCGGCCAGGUAGGUCCGUUGUGAAAACUCGAGGCUCAACCUCGAGACGUCGGCGGAAACCCUCUGGCUAGAGUCCGGAAGAGGAGAGUGGAAUUCCUGGUGUAGCGGUGAAAUGCGCAGAUAUCAGGAAGAACACCCGUGGCGAAGGCGGCUCUCUGGGACGGUACUGACGCUGAGACGCGAAAGCGUGGGGAGCGAACAGG
rnacentral:rRNA from 1 species